UACGUAGGGUGCGAGCGUUAAUCGGAAUUACUGGGCGUAAAGCGUGCGCAGGCGGUUUUGUAAGACAGAGGUGAAAUCCCCGGGCUCAACCCGGGAACUGCGUCCGAUACUGGAAGGCUUGAAUCCGGGAGAGGGAGUGUGGAAUUCCAGGUGUAGCGGUGAAAUGCGUAGAUAUCUGGAGGAACACCGGUGGCGAAGGCGGUCUCUGGGCCGAUACUGACGCUGAGGAGACGAAGCGUGGGGAGCGAACAGG
rnacentral:rRNA from 1 species